rnacentral:rRNA from 1 species
CCGUAAGCCCCCCGUGCCCCCGCCCCGCCCGCCGCGCGCGGCGGGCGGGGCGGGGGCACGGGGGGCCUACGGGAGGCAGCAGUAGGGAAUCUUCGGCAAUGGACGAAAGUCUGACCGAGCAACGCCGCGUGAGUGAAGAAGGUUUUCGGAUCGUAAAACUCUGUUGUUAGAGAAGAAUGUUGAUUAGAGUGGAAAAUUAAUCAAGUGACGGUUCU